UGAGGGGCCUGCGUAGCAUCAGCUAGUUGGUGGGGGUAAUGGCCUACCAAGGCGAAGACGCUUAGCUGGUCUGAGAGGAUGAUCAGCCACACUGGGACUGAGACACGGCCCAGACUCCUACGGGAGGCAGCAGUGGGGAAUAUUGGACAAUGGGCGCAAGCCUGAUCCAGCCACGCCGCGUGAGUGAUGAAGGCCUUCGGGUCGUAAAGCUCUGUGGGGAGGGACGAACGGCGCCAUGAAGAGUGGCGAUUGACGGUACCUCCUUAGCAAGCACCGGCUAACUUCGUGCCAGCAGCCGCGGUAAUACGAAGGGUGCAAACGUUGCUCGGAAUCAUUGGGCGUAAAGCGCACGUAGGCGGCUUUCUAAGUCGGAUGUGAAAUCCCUCGGCUUAACCGAGGACGUGCAUCCGAAACUGGGAGGCUUGAGUAUGGAAGAGGGUCGCAGAAUUCCCGGUGUAGAGGUGAAAUUCGUAGAUAUCGGGAGGAAUACCAGUGGCGAAGGC
rnacentral:rRNA from 1 species